rnacentral:rRNA from 1 species
GACGAACGCUGGCGGCGUGCUUAACACAUGCAAGUCGAACGGAAAGGCCCUGCUUUUGUGGGGUGCUCGAGUGGCGAACGGGUGAGUAACACGUGAGUAACCUGCCCUUGACUUUGGGAUAACUUCAGGAAACUGGGGCUAAUACCGGAUAGGAGCUCCUGCUGCAUGGUGGGGGUUGGAAAGUUUCGGCGGUUGGGGAUGGACUCGCGGCUUAUCAGCUUGUUGGUGGGGUAGUGGCUUACCAAGGCUUUGACGGGUAGCCGGCCUGAGAGGGUGACCAGCCAAAGUGGGACUGAGAUACGGCCCAGACUCCUACGGGAGGCAGCAGUGGGGAAUAUUGCACAAUGGGCGGAAGCCUGAUGCAGCAACGCCGCGUGCGGGAUGACGGCCUUCGGGUUGUAAACCGCUUUCGCCUGUGACGAAGCGUGAGUGACGGUAAUGGGUAAAGAAGCACCGGCUAACUACGUG